rnacentral:rRNA from 1 species
AGGGUUUGAUCCUGGCUCAGAUUGAACGCUGGCGGAAUGCUUUACACAUGCAAGUCGAACGGCAGCAUAGAGAGCUUGCUCUCUGAUGGCGAGUGGCGAACGGGUGAGUAAUAUAUCGGAACGUGCCUAGUAAUGGGGAAUAACUAGCUGAAAGGUUAGCUAAUGCCGCAUACGACCUACGGGUGAAAGCAGGGGAUCUUCGGACCUUGCGUUAUUAGAGCGGCCGAUAUCUGAUUAGCUUGUUGGUGGGGUAAUGGCCUACCAAGGCGACGAUCAGUAGCUGGUCUGAGAGGACGAUCAGCCACACUGGAACUGAGACACGGUCCAGACUCCUACGGGAGGCAGCAGUGGGGAAUUUUGGACAAUGGGGGCAACCCUGAUCCAGCCAUUCCGCGUGAGUGAAGAAGGCCUUCGGGUUGUAAAGCUCUUUCGCAAGAGAAGAAAACUUGCUAUCUAAUAAAUAGUAAGUAUGACGGUAUCUUGACAAGAAGCACCGGCUAACUACGUGCCAGCAGCCGCGGUAAUACGUAGGGUGCAAGCGUUAAUCGGAAUUACUGGGCGUAAAGCGUGCGCAGGCAGUUUUAUAAGUCAGAUGUGAAAUCCCCGAGCUCAACUUGGGAACUGCGUUUGAAACUAUAAGACUAGAGUGUGUCAGAGGGGGGUAGAAUUCCAAGUGUAGCAGUGAAAUGCGUAGAGAUUUGGAGGAAUACCAAUGGCGAAGGCAGCCCCCUGGGAUAACACUGACGCUCAUGCACGAAAGCGUGGGG